CCUACGGGUGGCUGCAGUGAGGAAUAUUGGUCAAUGGGCGGGAGACUGAACCAGCCAAGCCGCGUGAGGGAUGAAGGUACAGCGUAUCGUAAACCUCUUUUGUCAGGGAACAAAGGCGGGGACUUGUCCCCGGAUGAGUGUACCUGAAGAAAAAGCAUCGGCUAACUCCGUGCCAGCAGCCGCGGUAAUACGGAGGAUGCGAGCGUUAUCCGGAUUUAUUGGGUUUAAAGGGUGCGCAGGCGGUCUGUUAAGUCAGCGGUAAAAGCCCGGGGCUCAACCCCGGCGCGCCGUUGAAACUGGCAGUCUCGAGUUGGAGAGAAGUAUGCGGAAUGCGCGGUGUAGCGGUGAAAUGCAUAGAUAUCGCGCAGAACUCCGAUUGCGAAGGCAGCGUGCCGGCUCCACACUGACGCUGAGGCACGAAAGCGUGGGUAUCGAACAGGAUUAGAUACCCGAGUAGUC
rnacentral:rRNA from 1 species